rnacentral:rRNA from 1 species
AGCAGUCGCCGCGGUAAUACGAAGGGUGCAAGCGUUACUCGGAAUUACUGGGCGUAAAGCGUGCGUAGGUGGUGGUUUAAGUCCGUUGUGAAAGCCCUGGGCUCAACCUGGGAAUUGCAGUGGAUACUGGGUCACUAGAGUGUGGUAGAGGAUGGUGGAAUUUCCGGUGUAGCAGUGAAAUGCGUAGAUAUCGGAAGGAACACCUGUGGCGAAAGCGGCUCACUGGACAAUAACUGACGCUGAUGCACGAAAGCUAGGGGAGCAAACAGGAUUAGAUACCCCAGUAGUCCCUGUCUCUUAUAC